rnacentral:rRNA from 1 species
GAGAUGUGUGAUGACGCAUAUCAAUAAGCGGAGGAAAAGAAACUAACAAGGAUUCCCUUAGUAACGGCGAGUGAAGCGGGAAGAGCUCAAAUUUGAAAUCUUCAAGGUUCUACCUUGACGAAUUGUAGUUUAUAGAAGUGUUUUCUGUUAGUGGAGUGGCAAAAGUUCUUUGGAAUAGGACAUCAUAGAGGGUGAGAAUCCCGUACUUGGUCAUUCCUCCUAGCGUUGUGAUACACUUUCAAAGAGUCGGAUUGUUUGGGAAUGCAGUCCAAAAUGGGUGGUAAAUUUCAUCUAAAGCUAAAUAUUGGCGAGAGACCGAUAGCGAACAAGUACCGUGAGGGAAAGAUGAAAGGGAACUUUGAAAAGAGAGUUAAACAGUACGUGAAAUUGUCAAAAGGGAAGCGUUUGACACCAGUGUUGUUUUUCCGAAAAUCAAUUACGAAUGUUUUGUUUUUAAGGAGUUAUGACUUCAUCGGCUUGCUUCUCUUCUUCACGAAACUUUCUUAAUGCACUUUUCGGUUAACAAGUCAACAUCAAUUUCUUUUGUUGUAAAAGGGUAUGAGGAAGGUGGCUUUCUUUUCGGAGAAAGUGUUUAUAGCCUUGUACCUCUGCAAUCGGAGAGAUUGAGGUCUGCAGCGUAGAUCCUUCGGGGUUAGAUACAUUUGUGCUAAGUUAUAGCUUUUCAUAGACAACUUGUUGACUAUGUUAAGUCUUGUAGCUUACUCGCUUAUGCUAUUUUACCUACGCUUAGGAUGUUGACGAUCAGCUGAGCGCG